GAUUUCUGGUAAAAUGCACCUGGCCCGCGGCCACGAGGCUUGUGAGUGCCGGCGCGCGUUUACCAUCCUUCUAGAAAACGUUCUGCCGUUUGCUACAUUGAAAACAUAGAGUGUUUGCUAUGAAUACAUUAGCAUGGAAUACAGUGAUAAUCUAGGACUUCGGUUCUAUUUUGUUGGUUUGUAAUGAUUGAGGGAUACUUGUUGCCGGCCAGAGGUGAAAUUCUUGGAUUCGGUCAGUGCUAACUUAUGCGAAAGCAUU
rnacentral:rRNA from 1 species